GCUCUCGUGGUGUAGUGGCUAUCAUACUCUCUUAGGGUGGGAGUGGUCCUGGGUUCAAAUCCCGGCGAGGGCCUA